rnacentral:rRNA from 1 species
CCUACGGGUGGCUGCAGUGGGGAAUAUUGGACAAUGGGGGAAACCCUGAUCCAGCGACGCCGCGUGAGUGAAGAAGUAUUUCGGUACGUUAAGCUCUUUUAGCAGGAAAGAAAAUGACGGUACCUGUCUCAGAAGCCCCGGCUAACUACGGGCCAGCAGCCGCGGCAAUACGGAGGGGGCAAGCGUUAUCCGGAUUUACUGGGGGUAAAGGGAGCGUAGACGGCAGCGCAAGUCUGGAGUGAAAUGCCGGGGCCCAACCCCGGAACUGCGCUGGAAACUGUGAGGCUGGAGUGCAGGAGAGGUAAGCGGAAUUCCUGGUGUAGCGGUGAAAUGCGUAGAUAUCGGGAGGAACACCGGCGGCGAAGGCGGCUUACUGGACUGUAACUGACGUUGAGGCACGAAGGCGUGGGGAGCGAACAGGAUUAGAUACCCGGGUAGUC